AUACUAGGAAUGUUUCCAAUCUCUAAGAAUUCUUAAGUGGGAAGCUGACUAAACCACAAUGAGAGGGGCAUUGUUGUGAGAGUAGGACAUUGUUGAUGUACGUCGUCUUGAGUUAUGAUGGUGAAAAAAAUAGCUAGAGAAAGUAAAAUUUACUUUAGCUAGGUUUUUUUGUUUGAUUUUGAUCAUUGGGCAUAUGUAAGAUGAGUUUUAAUUAUUGGGUAAGGCUAACUCAUUAAAUUGGUGAUGACGAUGUUUCUUCAUUUUAGACAUUCAAGGAAUGAUGUAAAAGUGUUGCCAAUCUCUGUGAAGCUGAUUAAACCAUCAUAAGAAGCAUCUGGAUUUUUGGAAUCCAAAAGAUUUUGAAAAUCGAGUGUAGUAUUUUUGCGCGGGGAGGACAUUGUUGACGUCAUAGUCAUAAUGGCAGUGAAAAGUAGUCAGAAUUGUGUAUAAGUGAAAGUAAAAACCUAUUUGGUUAUGUUCUUUGGUUGGACUUUGAUGAUUGGACAAGUGAGAUUAGUUUUUAUAAUUAGGCAUAGAUUGGUAAAAGUGUGGAACUGAAUACGUAUGACUAUAAUUAUCCGUAAAAUUUAUAGUCAUAGAAGGGGUAGGUGGAUGGAAAUUUAAAGAUUAGAUUCUAUUCUUAUAUAUUGGUUUAUAGAUUCUCAUAUUCUCUAUAAAUCCAUUGUUGUGGGUAUGAUUGUUUUUAAAUUCUAUUCAAAAUGUACUGUAUAUUAUUAGAAGUUUGGUUUCCAUUGAUACUAUAUAAUUUAAUGUCAAUCUAGUGUUACUAGUAUAUGAAUUACUAACAAUUUAACUUAUAAACACACAAAUUUUAAUAUAUUAUGGAUAUAUUUACAAUAAUUCUUUUAGAGAUUUAUGAAUUCCUAAAACUCCCUGAAAACUUAACAAAACUUUUGCAAAAUUUAGCAAAUCUAUCGACUUCUUAAAUCAAUCAUCGACUCUAUCUAAUUCCAAUUCCCAUUAACACCCCUUCUAAAUAUGAAUAUGGAUACAAUUGUAGAAUUACCUGUCAUAAAUGUGGUAGAAGCAUUACCAACCUUCAAAAAGUGUAAAGGUGGAAGAUAUGAUUAAACCAUCAUGACAAGCGUCUGGAUUUUUGGAUCUAGAAGUUCUUGAAGACGGAUGUGGUGAUACUCCCUGCAAAUUUAACAACAAUUUUGAAAUUUUUACAAAUCUAUCGACUUUUUAAAUCAAUCAACUCAAUCUAAAUCCAAUUCCCAUUAACAUCCCUUCUAAAUAUGAUUGUGGAUAUCAUUGUAGAAUUACAUGUCAUAAAUGUAGUAGAAGCAUUACCAACCUUCGAAAAGUGUAAAGGUGGAAGAUAUGAUUAAACCAUCAUAACAAGCGUCUGGAUUUUUGGAUCUAGGAGUUCUUGAAGACGGAUGUGGUGAUACUCCCUGCAAAUUUAACAAUACUUUUGAAAUUUUUACAAAUCUAUCGACUUAUUAAAUCAAUAAACUCAAUCUAAAUCCAAUUCCCAUUAACAUUUCUUCUAAAUAUGAUUAUGGAUAUCAUUAUAGAAUUACCUGUCAUAAAUGUGGUAGAAGCAUUACCAACCUUCGAAAAGCGUACAGGUGGAAGAUAUGAUUAAACCAUCAUGACAAGCGUCUGGAUUUUUAGAUCUAGGAGUUCUUGAAGACGGAUGUGGUGAUACUCCCUGCAAAUUUAACAAUACUUUUGAAAUUUUUACAAAUCUAUCGACUUAUUAAAUCAAUAAACUUAAUCUAAAUCCAAUUCCCAUUAACAUCUCUUCUAAAUAUGAUUAUGGAUAUCAUUAUAGAAUUACCUGUCAUAAAUGUGGUAGAAGCAUUACCAACCUUCGAAAAGCGUACAGGUGGAAGAUAUGAUUAAACCAUCAUGACAAGCGUCUGGAUUUUUAGAUCUAGGAGUUCUUGAAGACGGAUGUGGUGAUACUCCCUACAAAUUUAACAAGACUUUUGAAAUUUUUACAAAUCUAUCGACUUAUUAAAUCAAUCAACUCAAUCUAAAUCCAAUUCCCAUUAAGACCUCUAAAUAUGAUUGUAGAUACCAUUGUAGAAUUACCUGUCAUAAAUGUGGUAGAAGCAUUACCGAACCUUUGAAAAUGUAAAGGUGGAAGAUAUGACUAAACCAUCAUGACAAGCGUCUGGAUUUUUGGAAUCUAGGAUUUUUUGAACAUAUAGUGUGGUGAUUUUUUGGGGAGAAGAGAUCAUUGUUGAUGUAUGUUGCCUGAGUUAUGGCCGCGACGAAAAAAUAGACUGAAAUGUGUGAAAAGAUGGUAUAAAUAUCUUUACCUAGGUUUCUAGGUUUUGAUUACUGGGCAUGUGAAAUGGGUUUUAAUAAAUGGGCUUGGGCUUGUAAAAUUGUGGAAUUAAGCUAUUGUAAUCACGCAUAUGAGUUAUCUAAUUGGAUAACUUAUUAGAUUGUAAUAAUGAGGGAAAAAAAAAGAUUAUUAUAAUGAGAGGUCCACAUUUAAAAUGAUGUGACACUCUUAGCAAAUAAAUAUAACAUGGCAAAAUUUAGAAGUGUUGUCAAAAAACGAUAAGCGUAAAAUGGAAAUUGUGACUGAACCACCAUAAGAAGCGUCUGGAUUUUUGGAGUCCGAGAGAUUUAGAAAGUGGAGUGUGGUUGUUUUUUUUAGAGGGGGAAUGUUGUUGUUUAUGCCAUUAGAGUCAUGGUGGCGUCGAAGAACAAUAAGUAUAUGUGGGAAUCAGAGAUGUGUGUAAGAGAAACAAAAAUUUAUUUGGUUGGGUUUUGAAUUUUCAAGAAAAUGUUAAAUUAUUUCAUCGAGUUUCUUUUUUUUUCUCUAUGUUAGGAAAUGGUAUGGUCAAAAUCUAUUGAUGAUGGUGAUGCCUAACAUUAACAAAACCAAUAGAAGGGAGACAAGAGACAUAAGACAUCUUCUUGAAAUUCAUCAACAUUACAAACUUACUAAAACUCCUCCUCCCAAUCCCAAAUGAAUAUGUACUUCUUAAAGCCACGUGUCUUUCUCUUUUUCAUUAAUAUUUAUUUAUUUUUUUAAAAUGUGAAAUUAUUUCUUUGGUUUAAUAUCUCUGGAUCAUUCUUCUACAAUG
rnacentral:sRNA from 1 species